GCAAACAUAUAAGUCAUUGUAUUAUGAGAUAUCGUAGGUUCAUGUUUAAAACCCCAAUACCUAACCCUUGCUACCUUGUCCAAAUUAUUAAAUAAUUUAAAACUCUAUGUUGGGUAAAACUUGUGGUGUGUGCACAUCUAUUCAAAUCAAUUCACAUGCGUUGAGGUGGAUUGGAAUGUAGAUUAGUUUUAGUUUAACUCAAACACUUGUUGAUUGAAAUGAAUAAAUGUGCAUCCAAACAAGGCCUAGGGGGCCUGCAUCUGUGUAAAACCCUGUGAUCUUUUCGUGUAGAUCCUGUGUAGAUUAGAAUUCACCGGCCGCAGAGCACCUCUGUUUAGCCCUUCUUACCAACCUUUGACGGCUUGCGUUCUCAACCUGAUAUUCACAUGCAAUUCACCCGUUAUUUGCAACCUCAUCUAUUUUCACUGCAGUUCUACACGUCAUAGGUUCUAUUGGAAACUGGAACUGUUCCUGAUGAGACCUCUGCAUAUAUGCUUUGCGAAUUGCCCCAUCUUUGAAGGUUAGGCCCAACCAAGUAUCCCCUCUAGCUCUUCGCUCACUCAAAGGACAUGCUAGCCAUAUAACUCGUAGAUGGGAAGAAUAUGGAACAAAAUCAGCAGAUUUGUAAAAAGGAAAUCAUACAAAAAAAUACCACUCAAUUUUCAUUCACUUAUUUUUUUUUGUUUGACUUUUGCUUUGGUCAAUUCGACGUGUCCACUUCAACAGUUUGUUGUGAUGCCAUGACUCUCACAUCGGAUCCAAUCUUUAAUUUUGUAUCGCAUUCACCUAUACCUU
rnacentral:lncRNA from 1 species